AGCUGGCUGUAAUUCCACAUACAAAGUUAAGGUGUGCUGUCUGAUUCUUAUGUCAACUUGACCCAGGCUAGAGUCAUCUGAGAGGGAGGAACCCCAAUUAAGAAAAAUACCUCCAUAAAACUUGGCUGUAGUGAACUGUCUGAUAAACAACCCACUGUCAGAACGGACAGCUUGCUGGCAGAAGUUAAGAUGGAAGCCAGAUUCUCCAGCGGCAGUCCCCUGAGUGCAUUAGGUCCCAAUUCAACCCCGAGAUCAACCUUGUCAAAAGCAAACUGCUGUGUUUUCAAAGAAGGCGGCACAUCUGGGAUUGAUGAUUUAAAAGGCUUUAUUUCUGACGGAACCGUGGUAAAUACUACAUAUUUCCCUAAUGAGAAGAGACUGCGGAUUGUACCGAAGUAUAAGGGAUGUAACCUUAAAGAGGCAGUAUGUAACUGAAGCGCGUCAGAAGUCUGGUAGGGAGGAGGUGGUGACACACAGCGCCAUUGAAUGGCUCGGCUCCGCAGCCGUCAGCACAGCCCUCUGCGCGCCCAGAAGCUACGACUUGUGGUAGUAGCAAGUGCUACAGUGGCACUCCGUAUGAUUCUCCACUCUGGCAUUUCCCAUUACUGUGGCCUAAAGGGCAAAAGAAACAGGUAGGUAGGUAGACAGCCACAAUUGCAAAAUGUCAAGGAAAAUAGCAGCCAGUGUCACUUAAUAAAAGUUUGGUAUUUUCCAUGUUCACUUUCAGGGGAUAGAUUCACUCUAACAGCGAAACUCCCACUGCAAGAUAAGCUAUGCUUCCAGGCAUGGUGGCUCGGGCCUUUAAUCCCAGCACUUGGCAGGCAGAGGCAGGUGGUUUUCUGAGUUUGAGGCCAGCCUGGUCUACAAAGUGAGUUCCAGGACAGCCAGGGCUACGAAGAGAAACCCUGUCUUGAACCCCCCCCCCCCAAAAAAAACCCCAAAGUCUUCCACAUUCCUACUAGGAUGGCCUAUCAAACCCUACUUACAGCAUUCCACGACUUUCCAAAUCCAAAGUCCCAAAAUCCACAUUCUUCCAAAACCUAUUGAAAUAAUACCUCAGUCCCUGGUACCAACUUUUGUCUUAGUUAGGAUUUUACUGCUGGGAACAGACACCAUGACCAAGGGCAACUCUAUAAAGACAACAUUAAAUUGGGGCUGGAUUACAGGUUCAGAGGUCAGCCCAUUAUCAUCAAGGUGAGAACAUGACAGUUCAUGGCAGGCACGAAAGCUCAACAUCUUCAUCUGAAGGUGCUAGUGGAAGACUGCCUUCCAGGAGGCUAGGAAUAGGGUCUUAGAGCCCACAUCCACAAUGACACACCUAUUCCAACAAGGUCACACCUGUGAAUAGAGCCACUCCCUAGGCCAAGCAUGUACAAACCAGAACAGGAUGUCAGAGGACAGUUUGAAAGAAUUGUUCUCUCCUUCCGUUUUCUGGACCCUGGGGAUCCUACUCAGAUUAGGCAAAUGUCUUUACCCACUGAUCCAUCUCACCAGCUCCAGUCACAGGCUUAGGACAUGUAAGGUCUUCCUACCUCUGCUUUCUAAACGAUGAGUCUCAAAAAAACC
ensembl:processed_transcript